rnacentral:rRNA from 1 species
UACGUAGGGUGCAAGCGUUGUCCGGAAUUAUUGGGCGUAAAGAGCUCGUAGGCGGUCUGUCGCGUCUGCUGUGAAAAUCCAGGGCUCAACCCUGGACCUGCAGUGGGUACGGGCAGGCUAGAGUUCGGUAGGGGAGACUGGAAUUCCUGGUGUAGCGGUGAAAUGCGCAGAUAUCAGGAGGAACACCGAUGGCGAAGGCAGGUCUCUGGGCCGAUACUGACGCUGAGGAGCGAAAGCGUGGGGAGCAAACAGG